CAGGCGACGGGUAUAUAUGGUGGAUUGGAAAGAAAACAGAGAUAAAUUAAUAGGAUGAGAGCCAGAGAAGGAGAGAAAGCGAGAAAGAGAGAGGGAGACAGCGCACGAGAGAGAAAGAGAGCGAGAGGGAAAGAGAGGGAGUGAGAGAGAGAAAGCGAGAGAGAGAAAGCGAGAGAGAGAGAGAGAGAGAGAGAGAGAGAGAGAGAGAGAGAGAGAGAGAGAGAGACGCCUCUGUUCUCCCCUACUCCACUGGACUUUAUGCAUUGAACGGGCGCGAGACAUUCCCUGCCGCUAUGUGAGCAGUCAUCGGGAUACUGAGCACGCAGCUAUCGGUGAGCCGCUAUCUAUUCCCCGACCCGGUAGCGUUGCCGUCAGGCGAACCUUCUUUUUUAACGUCAUUUCUCGGGUCGGAAGCUCGCCUUGGAAUCCAACUGCAGUAUUCGUUGGCACCACAAACCCUCCUCUUUCGUUAAUUGGGAAGAUAUUCCCACCCAGCCGUGUGUGUUGUGUGGACUGUAAGCGCGCCAAAGGACCCUCCGCACUGGACGCUCGUGCGGUUUGUUCGCGCGACUUGUGACAUAUGGAGUAGAAAUACAAGCUACAAGUGGGAUGUGAUUCUCUGGGGGUUUCCCCUCUCAUUGACAAGGCCAAGUACACUUUAAUCGGCCUUUAUGCUGUCGGUCCCAUCGUGCUGUGAGAGGAACCGCUCCCCGCCAGACCGUCUGGGCUCAGCAGGAAGUGCCGUUGCAUUAACUUCCAGGUCAACUUCAGAGGUCAUGUGGUCCACACGCCUGCUCUUCCUGUGUUCCCUGUUUGCACCUCUGGCCCUCGUGUGCGGCCGCGCCCCCAUCCCCAUGGCGGUGGUGCGGAGGGAGCUGUCCUGUGAGUCCUACCCCAUCGAGCUGCGCUGCCCCGGGACCGACGUCAUCAUGAUCGAGAGCGCCAACUACGGCCGCACCGACGACAAGAUCUGCGACUCGGACCCGGCGCAGAUGGAGAACACUCGCUGCUACCUACCCGAUGCCUACAAGAUCAUGUCACUCAGAUGCAACAACCGCACCCAGUGUGCCGUGGUGGCGGGGCCUGACGUCUUUCCGGACCCCUGUCCUGGAACGUACAAGUACCUGGAGGUCCAGUACGAGUGUGUCCCAUACAGUAAGUGCCCCUCCAAGCAUCUCACUCUACCUCUCUGUCCCUCAGUCUCUCCCUCUCCCUCUCCCUCUCCCUCUCCCUCUCUCUCUCUCUCUCUCCCUCUCCCUCUCCCUCUCCCUCUCUCUCUCUCUCUCUCUCUCUCUCUCUCUCUCUCUCUCUCUCUCUCUCUCUCUCUCCCUCU